GAUCUUGUAAUUGGAAUGAGAACAAUUUAAAUCUCUUAACGAGGAACAAUUGGAGGGCAAGUCUGGUGCCAGCAGCCGCGGUAAUUCCAGCUCCAAUAGCGUAUAUUAAAGUUGUUGCAGUUAAAAAGCUCGUAGUUGAAUUUCGGGAUCAAUAUUUCGGUCAUGCCGUUGGUAUGCACUGUUAUCAUUGAUUUCUCACCUUCUAAAGAACCGUAAUGCCAUUAAUUUGGUGUUACGGGGAAUUAGGACUGUUACCUUGAAAAAAUUAGAGUGUUUAAAGCAGGCUCACGCUUGAAUACAUUAGCAUGGAAUAAUGAAAUAGGACAUCCGAUUCUAUUUUGUUGGUUUCUAGGAUCGAUGUAAUGAUUAAUAGGGAUAGUUGGGGGCAUUAGUAUUCAAUUGUCAGAGGUGAAAUUCUUGGAUUUAUU
rnacentral:rRNA from 1 species